UGAAUUUGUCCAAUGAAUUUCACGUACCAAAAGAUCUCUCAAUUUUAUAUGAUUCCAUUAGAAAUCCAUUUAUAAAUUGAAUGUGAUACAAUGAAUUUUACGAAUCACACAAUGAAAUAAUUAUUAUCGGAUUUUCACAUCCAUUUUAUUUGAUAUUCAUUUACGUCUAACAUGUGCCGCAAAAAUUUGAAUUUACGGAAAUAUUGCGGAAUACAUUUUAUAAAGUAAAUAUAUAAAACCGCCAUGUUUCGAAACCAACAUAAAUCUUAUUGAUAAAUCUAAUGAAAAACACACGUCGCCGCACUUCUUGUCAGUUUACUUGUGAAAUUUUGUUUUGACGUUUGGAUUUGGUAUCGAAUAAUCCAGAUGGUUAUCAAAAUGGCUACACCACGAAAAGACGGCGUCUUAUUGGGCGAUUGGAAGGAUAUUUGCUUAUCUCCAAUGGAUCGCACCGAAGAAAUUGGCACUUAUCAAAUCGUAGGACAAACAACGAACAGAUAAUUGGAACUGGGAUCAAGUGGCCAACGUUGAACCGGAUUGCCGUUUAACAGUCAACAACCAAGUAC